UGCUUAACAACAGUUGAACAUGGAAGGUAAUCACUUUCUUUAAAAAUUUAGAAUGUUUGACAAUUCUAAAUGUUAGAAUGUUAAAUAGUUGUGGAAUGUUUGACAAUCAGCACUCUUAGAAGCAGUCACAGCAUUUCUCAUCAGCAUUUCAUAUGAAGACAAUUUGGAUUGUUGUUCGAGCCCCCUUUAGCUCGGAUACAUGAGAACAGCAUUUCCAGAUGAUCUUGAGAGAACUUGUAUGAUGUUGUGAAAGUGCAACCAAGUUGUCUGAACAUUGUAAGGUUUACUGCUGUGCCAUCUGUUGUGAUUGACCACACACGAAGUCCUGCAUCCCACAAGGUAUGUUCUUGACUCAUUUGCUUCUCCAAAAACCUUUUCUGAUGGAGACAGUGCUGUUAUGGCUUUUAAAUCAGAUGGUGAUUUGAUUUUCUUCUUGCAUUCCUGGAUAUACCAUAGUGUGAUCCAGUGGGUUGUGGAUUUAUAGUUGGCACAGCAGCAUGUUUUAGACUGCAGUUGGUUUCUGAAGGUGCUUUUAUGUAGUUGUGUCUGGAGAAAUAAUUGCUACAGACUCUGCUGGAACGGAAUGCUUUAAAAAUUUGGAUUAUUGUUGGUAUCUUUUACCACCUUCUCCCACAUUUCAAGAAUUGGUGCAUUAUUUAGUGGCAAUCUAAAUGUUUGGUUUUAUUCAGGUUCCUCCUUAAGUUUUUGCUAUUCAAGUUAAUUAUUUAUACCUGAUUUAAAACAGAUAUAUAUGUAGUGAAUUGUAUAAUGUAUUGUACAUAUUUCUAAAGUGUACAAUAAUAUUUUUUUCUAAAGGUUAGUUGACUAUAUUAUGCUAGCCUUACCUGUGAAAUGAAACUUGAUUUUUCGUCAUGUUUGAGUGACAUUUUGACCCACUUUUAAUUAUUUUUUGUUUACUCGUGCAACCAUCAAUCACACAAUUAUACAAAAAGCUUUUCUACAAAAAGUUCAAAGAAUUUAUCCUUAUCAACUGAUAUAUCGACGAGAUCUUGUUUUUAAUUAACGAUCUUUCGAAUGGCUAAAUCUAACAACGAAGCGAAAAGCGUUAUGAGUAAUGAACAAACAAAGCAAACCACCCCAGCUCUCACCAGGGAAGAAGAACCUUCAACUCUCGAAACGUCUGAACAACUACGAAGAAAAUGAUCUGCUGCAAAAGGCGCAGUUACAAAAAAGAUGAAGGAGUUCACCAAAUCAAAAUUGAGCUUUAGAAGCUUGAGCGAAGCAAACAAUUAAAGCACAAGAAUUCAACGAAGUUUUAAACAGAUUUUACAACGCCCACGAGCAUCAUCAUGCAACAAUAGAAGAUGAUUAUGAUCACCAAGACUCAAACAAAUACCUUCAAAUUGAACAACAAAGAAUUGAAAAUUUUCAAAGGACCUUUAACGAAUGGCUCAGAGAGUUUACAAAACAACCAUCAAUGUCAGAAGUCAAGAUAAAGCCCAAUGACUUGAUUAGUAACGUCGGAGAGUAGAGCCGUGUUCUAAAACUCGAGGUGUGCAGCUACAGUGGAUACAAAAUCUACCCAAGUCAUGGGAAAAGAUAUAUACGUCUAGAUGGAAAGUCUUUCAAUAUCCUGGACGAAUUUGGAUAGAAGGUUGAGGGAAGUUGUUCGGAUGGGGGAAGAGCAGUAUGGAUUCAUACCGGG